rnacentral:rRNA from 1 species
GAGGAGGAAGGGGUGGUCGUUAAUAGCGGCUAUCUUUGACGUUACUCGCAGAAGAAGCACCGGCUAACUCUGUGCCAGCAGCCGCGGUAAUACAGAGGGUGCAAGCGUUAAUCGGAAUUACUGGGCGUAAAGCGCACGCAGGCGGUUGGUUAAGUCAGAUGUGAAAGCCCCGGGCUCAACCUGGGAAUUGCAUUUGAAACUGGCCAACUAGAGUACGUGAGAGGGGGGUAGAAUUCCAAGUGUAGCGGUGAAAUGCGUUGAGAUU